rnacentral:rRNA from 1 species
GACGAACGCUGGCGGCGUGCUUAACACAUGCAAGUCGAACGAAGUGGCGAACGGGUGAGUAACGCGUAAUCAACCUGCCCUUCAGAGGGGGACAACAGUUGGACACGACUGCUAAUACCGCAUACGGAAGGAGGGGAUUGCGUUUGAUUAGCUAGUGGGAGGGGUAACGGCCCACCAAGGCGAUGAUCAUUAGCCGGUCGUCGAGGAUGAACGGCCACAUGUGUACUUAGACACGGCCCAGACUCCUACGGGAGGCAGCAGUGGGGAAUCGUCCGCAAUGGACGAAAGUCUGACGGAGCAACGCCGCGUGAGUGAUGACGGCCUUCGGGUUGUAAAGCUCUGUUAAUCGGGACGCGGUACCGGAAUAGAAAGCCACGGCUAACUACGUGCCAGCCGCCGCGGUAAUUC